AUUGAACGCUGGCGGCAGGCCUAACACAUGCAAGUCGAACGAGUGGCGGACGGGUGAGUAAUGUCUGGGAAACUGCCUGAUGGAGGGGGAUAACUACUGGAAACGGUAGCUAAUACCGCAUACCAUCGGAUGUGCCCAGAUGGGAUUAGCUAGUAGGUGGGGGAACGGCGCACCUAGGCGAAGAUCCCUAGCGGGUCUGAGAGGAUGACCAUCCACACUGGACCUGAGAAACGGUCCAGACUCCUACGGGAGGCAGCAGUGGGGAAUAUUGGACAAUGGGCGAAAGCCUGAUCCAGCCAUGCCGCGUGUGUGAAGAAGGUCUUCGGAUUGUAAAGCACUUUAAGUUGGGAGGCGUUACCAACAGAAUAAGCACCGGCUAACUACGUGCCAGCAGCCGCGGUAAUUC
rnacentral:rRNA from 1 species